GAUGAAGAACGCAGCGAAAUGCGAUAAGUAAUGUGAAUUGCAGAAUUCAGUGAAUCAUCGAAUCUUUGAACGCACAUUGCGCCCGUCGGCACUCCGGCGGGCAUGCCUGUCCGAGCGUCAUUUCAACCCUCAGGACCCCCUUCCGGGGGGGACCUGGCGCUGGGGAUCAGCGGCCUCCGGGCCCCUGUCCCCCAAAUGCAGUGGCGGUCGCGCCGCAGCCUCCCCUGCGUAGUAGCACACCUCGCACCGGAGAGCGGCUCGGCCACGCCGUGAAACCCCCAAUUUUUCAAGGUUGACCUCGUAUCAGGUAGGAAUACCCGCUGAACUUAAGCAUAUCAAUAAGCGGAGGA
rnacentral:misc_RNA from 1 species